GACGAAACGCGGCGGCGUGCCUAAUACAUGCAAGUAGAACGCUGAAGGAGGAGCUUGCUUCUCUGGAUGAGUUGCGAACGGGUGAGUAACGCGUAGGUAACCUGCCUGGUAGCGGGGGAUAACUAUUGGAAACGAUAGCUAAUACCGCAUAAGAGUAGAUGUUGCAUGACAUUUACUUAAAAGGUGCAAUUGCAUCACUACCAGAUGGACCUGCGUUGUAUUAGCUAGUUGGUGGGGUAACGGCUCACCAAGGCGACGAUACAUAGCCGACCUGAGAGGGUGAUCGGCCACACUGGGACUGAGACACGGCCCAGACUCCUACGGGAGGCAGCAGUAGGGAAUCUUCGGCAAUGGACGGAAGUCUGACCGAGCAACGCCGCGUGAGUGAAGAAGGUUUUCGGAUCGUAAAGCUCUGUUGUAAGAGAAGAACGAGUGUGAGAGUGGAAAGUUCACACUGUGACGGUAUCUUACCAGAAAGGGACGGCUAACUACGUGCCAGCAGCCGCGGUAAUACGUAGGUCCCGAGCGUUGUCCGGAUUUAUUGGGCGUAAAGCGAGCGCAGGCGGUUAGAUAAGUCUGAAGUUAAAGGCUGUGGCUUAACCAUAGUACGCUUUGGAAACUGUUUAACUUGAGUGCAAGAGGGGAGAGUGGAAUUCCAUGUGUAGCGGUGAAAUGCGUAGAUAUAUGGAGGAACACCGGUGGCGAAAGCGGCUCUCUGGCUUGUAACUGACGCUGAGGCUCGGAAGCGUGGGGAGCAAACAGG
rnacentral:rRNA from 1 species